ensembl:lncRNA
GUUAACUAUCAGGCAGUGUGGCAGGCUGUUGUUAACUAUCAGGCAGUGUGGCAGGCUGUUGUUAACUAUCAGGCAGUGUGGCAGGCUGUUGCUGACUAUCAGGCUGUUGUUAACUAUCAGGCAGUGUGGCAGGCUGUUGUUAACUAUCAGGCAGUGUGGCAGGCUGUUGUUAACUAUCAGGCAGUGUGGCAGGCUGUUGUUAACUAUCAGGCAGUGUGGCAGGCUGUUGCUGACUAUCAGGCAGGCUGUUGUUAACUAUCAGGCAGUGUGGCAGGCUGUUGCUGACUAUCAGGCUGCUGUUAACUAUCAGGCAGUGUGGCAGGCUGUUGCUGACUAUCAGGCUGUUGUUAACUAUCAGGCAGUGUGGCAGGCUGUUGUUAACUAUCAGGCAGUGUGGCAGGCUGUUGUUAACUAUCAGGCAGUGUGGCAGGCUGUUGUUAACUAUCAGGCUGU